rnacentral:rRNA from 1 species
UACGUAGGGGGCAAGCGUUGUCCGGAUUUACUGGGCGUAAGGAGCGUGUAGGCGGCCACGCAGGUCCGUUGUGAAAACUGGAGGCUCAACUUCGAGCUGUCGGUGGAAACUGUCUGGCUAGAGUCCGGAAGAGGAGAAUGGAAUUCCUGGUGUAGCGGUGAAAUGCGCAGAUAUCAGGAAGAACACCCGUGGCGAAGGCGGUUCUCUGGGACGGUACUGACGCUGAGACGCGAAAGCGUGGGGAGCGAACAGG